rnacentral:ribozyme from 1 species
UUUCCUUUUUUUUUUUUUUUUUUUUAUUAUGAGUGGAUUCUAUCUUGGCCAUUACAAUAGCAACAACGACGACGCUAUGGGGAACUGCAAAACAAGCAGGGUUUUGAACGAAGAUACAAUUUUACAUGUGGCUGAAUUUAGUACCAUCGGAAAAAGAAAAACAAAUGAAGAUCAAACUGUCGUAA